rnacentral:rRNA from 1 species
UACAGAGGGUGCGAGCGUUGUCCGGAAUCACUGGGCGUAAAGGGCGCGUAGGCGGCUUGAUAAGUAGGGGGUGAAAUCUUGCGGCUCAACUGCAAGGCUGCCUCCUAAACUGUCAGGCUUGAGCACAGUAGAGGCAGGUGGAAUUCCCGGUGUAGCGGUGGAAUGCGUAGAGAUCGGGAAGAACAUCGGUGGCGAAGGCGGUCGACUGGGCCAGUACUGACGCUGAGGCGCGACAGCGUGGGGAGCAAACAGG